rnacentral:lncRNA from 1 species
AAAGGAGAUACUUGACUAGAUGAUCACUGCGUCUGAUCCAGCAACCUGGCCUUAAGCUAUCGAUGCGUGGCAAAGAUUUUGAGGUUCGCUGGCUCUAAAAUAAAUACUGUGUGUGGAUGCCAACUUGGGGUGGUGAUGCGCAGAGAUAGUUAUUCAGGAUGAAACAGUCUCGUUCCUUCAGUAGUUUCCCGAGGUCAUUUUACAGCUCCCUUUUUCUUACCAUGUUUGCAACUCUUCCAGCAGGAAUUGUCUCAACAGGAGCUUUUCUAAAAAACUCCAGACUGGGUUGCAGUUUGACAGUCCUCCGCUCCCCGGACAGUCCCCGCUUCCUCCCUCCGGCAUCUGGGACGUUCCUCCGAAGCCCUUUCCCCGAGGGAGGUGGUGCCCACUCCCUCCAUUUCCUGUGGGCCAGCGGCGACCCCCUCACCGCCCUCCUUCCCUGUACAGUGGCGGAGGGCUCGCCUCGCUCUCCAACCCCCGUGUCCGCUCGGGCUGGGCCGGAGGAAGCUAAGUGGCCAGCAAAAGCAGGACUGCCUGAGUCUCGGAAGAUGGCCGGGGCCGAGGCGGGGCUGAGCGCAGCCGGNGUCCAAGCGCAGCCGAGCGACUCGGGAGCCGCGACGGCAGCGGCGGCGCCGGGCGAAGAGUCGUCGGACAGCGAAGGGGAGCACGAGGGGCCCCAGAANCUCAUUCGCAAAGUCUCCACUUCGGGCCAAAUUCGGAGCAAGGGAAGCUGUGAACUGGAUCUGUCCUAACAAGUCAUCUCAGUUCUUCUCUUCCGUGGCUGCAUAAAAACCUCUGAGCACACACUGGGCCUGGAGAGGCCCUUUACGCGCGGCUCCCGGCUUCUGCUGUCCUGGACAGAACUCCGGAGUUGUGGAUGGGCAGAAUACUUCCCGUACUUGUCGGACUCCCAGUCUGUCUUCUUUGUGCAUGUCUGAAUACCGCAGGAUACGAUUUAUUCUGAACCGUUUUGUUUCGUAGGAGUACUUUCCAGACAUUUUAUUUUAAAACCCUGACUGUUUAGAUACGCUGUACCUCCAAUCCUGUUAGUUUGUUUUUUCCCCUAGGUUUAAGGUUUUUACAGCGUGUUAAAACAUAGACAAUAUCAUAGGUAGCUUAACAGAAAGAAAAUACUAUGGUUGUAUCCAGACGUCACUUAUUUAUUCUGCUAUAUUUGGAUAUUCCAGGAUAAAGCCUAGAUAUUGCAACAUAUUCAGGCUUUAUCCUGGAAUAUCCAAACAUAGUGGAAUACGUAAGCUGGUCUGGAUGCAGCNUAUGUUGUGUGUGAGGGAAUUGAUACAUUCCUUUGUAAGUACCCCAGUAUGGCCAAUGCAUUUUUAAAGUUAAUACAGAAUUUUGCAACAUGUGUGUAACACUUGUAACAUUGUCUCUUCUAGUAGUAAAAGUUAAAAUACGAUAGUCUUUUGCGUAGUACAGGAGGACCCUCAGAUCUUGACACAGGCCAUCUUCUCCUGUUACUAGUCAAGGACCCAAUUAUAUAUGUCUGUAUGUUGUAUAUGUCUAUUUAGCCUAAGAAGUCUGUACAGUUUUCUAGAGGGAUUGUAUGCUUUGCAAAGUUCUUCAGCUGACACUGAAUUUGAAUUUUUAACUAAGUUUGCAAAAACAUCUUUUAAAAAGAGAUAGUUGUCUUGUGCCCCAUUUCUUAGGGGCAUAGUAUAGUAUGUGGGACUGUGUUAAACUUCCACAAAAUUGACAUUUUUCAUAAGUGGCAGCCACAUUCUUUUACAGCUGCCCUGGGAAUGGCCCAGUCCCCUAAAGAUCUGGUGUAAUCCUGAGAGGCUCCAUGUCUCCGCAUAGCCGCACUCUGCAAAAGCCUGGUGUCGUAGCUCCUGACUGAGCAGAAUGCCUGCUGGCCUUACUUAUGAGGAGAUGGCUCUCAUGUGGACGCUGAGUGGACUGCCCUGUAAAUUGAUUUUGUUACUCCGGUGCCUUUGUAUAAUAGUAUAAAGGUUAGGACAGGGGCUCAGGCAGCAGGGAACAGUCAGUUUCUGCUUUUACAUCUUGCACCUAGUUUUUCUGAGGGUAUUUUGUGGACUAUUGCUGGAAACAGGAUGCUUGAAUAAAUGCCCUCUGUUGGCCUCA